AGGACGAACGCUGGCGGCGUGCUUAACACAUGCAAGUCGAGCGGAAAGGCCCUUCGGGGUACUCGAGCGGCGAACGGGUGAGUAACACGUGAGUAAUCUGCCCCUAGCUCUGGGAUAGCUCCGGGAAACCGGGAUUAAUACCAGAUACGACCACUUUAGACAUCUUCUGUGGUGGAAAGAACUUCGGCUAGGGAUGAACUCGCGGCCUAUCAGCUUGUUGGUGAGGUAAUGGCUCACCAAGGCGACGAUCGGUAGCUGGUCUGAGAGGAUGACCAGCAUCACUGGGACUGAGACACGGCCCAGACUCCUACGGGAGGCAGCAGUGGGGAAUAUUGGACAAUGGGCGCAAGCCUGAUCCAGCCAUGCCGCGUGGAUGAUGAAGGCCUUAGGGUUGUAAAGUCCUUUUAACGGGAAGUAUAAUGACGGUACCCGUAGAAUAAGCCCGGCUACUUCGCGCCAGCAGCCGCGGUAA
rnacentral:rRNA from 1 species